rnacentral:rRNA from 1 species
CAGUAGCCACGGUAAUACGUAGGUGGCAAGCGUUGUCCGGAAUUAUUGGGCGUAAAGGGCUCGCAGGCGGUUUCUUAAGUCUGAUGUGAAAGCCCCCGGCUCAACCGGGGAGGGUCAUUGGAAACUGGGAAACUUGAGUGCAGAAGAGGGGAGUGGAAUUCCACGUGUAGCGGUGAGAUGCGUAGAGAUGUGGAGGAACACCAGUGGCGAAGGCGACUCUCUGGUCUGUAACUGACGCUGAGGAGCGAAAGCGUGGGGAGCGAACAGGAUUAGAUACCCCCGUAGUCCCUGUCUCUUAUAC